rnacentral:rRNA from 1 species
UACGUAGGGGGCAAGCGUUGUCCGGAUUUACUGGGCGUAAAGCGCGCGCAGGCGGACUGAUCAGUCUGGGGUGAAAUCUCACGGCUCAACUGUGAGCGGUCCCUGGAUACUGUCAGUCUUGAGAUGUCUAGAGGAGAGCGGAAUUCCCGGUGUAGUGGUGGAAUGCGUAGAUAUCGGGAAGAACACCAGUGGCGAAAGCGGCUCUCUGGGGACCAUCUGACGCUGAGGCGCGAAAGCGUGGGAGCGAACCGG